rnacentral:rRNA from 1 species
GCGGAGGAAAAGAAACCAACUGGGAUUGCCUCAGUAACGGCGAGUGAAGCGGCAACAGCUCAAAUUUGAAAUCUGGCGCCUUGGGCGUCCGAGUUGUAAUUUGUAGAGGGAGUCUCGGGUUAAGGGUCGGUCCAAGUGCCUUGGAACAGGAUACCGAAGAGGGUGAGAGUCCCGUAUCCGGCCGACGCCAGCGCCCGUGUGAGGCCCCUUCGACGAGUCGAGUUGUUUGGGAAUGCAGCUCUAAAUGGGUGGUAAAUUCCAUCUAAAGCUAAAUACUGGCCAGAGACCGAUAGCGCACAAGUAGAGUGAUCGAAAGAUGAAAAGCACUUUGAAAAGAGAGUCAAACAGUACGUGAAAUUGUUGAAAGGGAAGCGUAUGUGGGCAGACUUGGACGCUGGAUUCAGGCCGCCUUCUGGCGGGUGUAUUUUCCAGCGGACAGGCCAGCAUCGGUUCUGAGGGCCGGACAAAGACGAAGGGAAUGUGGCUCCUCUCUGGAGAGUGUUAUAGCCCGGCGUGCAAUGCGGCCACUUGGACCGAGGACCGCGCAUUUGCAAGG